CCAAUAGCGUAUAUUAAAGUUGUUGCAGUUAAAAAGCUCGUAGUUGAAUUUUAGGCCUGGCCGGGCGGUCCGUCUUUGGCGAGUACUGUUCUGUGUCGGGUCUUACCUUCUGGUGAACCGGCAUGUUCUUUAUUGAGUGUACCGGGGAGUCCGGACCAUUACCUUGAAAAAAUUAGAGUGUUUAAAGCGGGCAUUUGCUUGAAUAGAUUAGCAUGGAAUAAUAGAAUAGGACGUUGGUUCUAUUUUGUUGGUCUAGGACCACCGUAAUGAUUAAUAGGGAUAGUUGGGGGCAUUAGUAUUCAAUUGUCAGAGGUGAAAUUCUUGGAUUUAUUGAAGACUAACUACUGCGAAAGCAUUUGCCAAGGAUGUUUUCAUUAAUCAAGAACGAAAGUUAGGGGAUCGAAGACGAUCAGAUACCGUCGUAGUCUUAACCAUAAACUAUGCCGACUAGGAAUCGGGCGACGUUAUUUUUAUGACUCGCUCGGCGCCUUAUG
rnacentral:rRNA from 1 species